GCCGCAGUGCUGAUUUGGCACAUUCCCUGCACUCACAAGUGGUACAGCUGAGUUGUGAACUCAGAGCUGCAGCUGAGGAUUUCUUCCAGCAUAGACGGCUGGAAAAGUUUUGUGUAGCCUCACGGGAACAGAACCAGGAUGAAAGGGAAGAGGAAUUCAAGCUGCAGCAAGGACUCUGAGAAAACUAGGCAGAGACUGAACAGAACAAGCUGAGACAGCAGGCCCAGACCGAGGAGAUCCCGGCUCUGUGUUCUUCACCAGCACAUCAAGUCAAAUGGCUGUCCAAAUCAAAUGGCUAACAACACCCCACCCUCCUGCAAUGAUUACAUUUCAGGGAGGGAAUAAAAAUCUUUCUACUACUUUA